rnacentral:misc_RNA from 1 species
GGAAGUAAAAGUCGUAACAAAAUCUCCGUUGGUGAACCAGCGGAGGGAUCAUUACAGGACUCGCAAGACUCCUACAACCCUGUGAACUUAACUAUAAGCACGUUGCUUCGGCGGGUGUCUCGGAGGGGGUUCUCCCUCCCCGAGACGCUAAACCCGCCGGCAGCCUACUAUACUCUGUCUCUUUGCGUUGGCAUCUCGAGUACAAUCAAACAAGUUAAAACUUUCAACAACGGAUCUCUUGGUUCUG